CCAUGAGAAGGAUCUUAGACUCUGCCGAGUUUAUCAAAUUCACGGUCAUUAGACCAUUUCCAGGACUUGUGAUUAAUAACCAGAGCUGGUUGAUCAGAGUGAGUCAGAAGGCCCCGUGAUACAAGAAUCAGCUGAACCAAGCCAGUUGGAAGUUCCAGCCACAGAAGAAAUAAAAGAGACUGAUGGAAGCUCUCAGAUCAAGCAAGAACCAGACCCCACGUGGUAGACCUCUUCCCUCCUAGGCUUAAAGUAUCAGUGGUUGAGAAGAGCUUUUCGGACCUGUUACUACCCCAAG
rnacentral:lncRNA from 1 species